UACGGAGGGAGCUAGCGUUGUUCGGAAUUACUGGGCGUAAAGCGCACGUAGGCGGCUUUGUAAGUUAGAGGUGAAAGCCCGGGGCUCAACUCCGGAACUGCCUUUAAGACUGCAUCGCUUGAAUCCGGGAGAGGUGAGUGGAAUUCCGAGUGUAGAGGUGAAAUUCGUAGAUAUUCGGAAGAACACCAGUGGCGAAGGCGGCUCACUGGACCGGUAUUGACGCUGAGGUGACGAAAGGCGUGGGGAGCAAACACGG
rnacentral:rRNA from 1 species